ensembl:lncRNA
GUCAAUGUGGAGGCUAUAUACAGGGUAUUACGGUACAGAGUCAAUGUGGAGGCUAUAUACAGGGGGUACUGGUACAGAGUCAAUGUGGAGGCUAUAUACAGGGGGUACCGGUACAGAGUCAAUGUGGAGGCUAUAUACAGGGUGUACCGGUACAGAGUCAAUGUGGAGGCUAUAUACAGGAGGUACCGGUACAGAGUCAAUGUGGAGGCUAUAUACAGGGGGUACCGGUACAGAGUCAAUAUGGAGACUAUAUACAGGGGGUACCAGCACAGAGUCAAUGUGGAGACUAUAUACAGGGGGAACUGGCACAGAGUCAAUGUGGAGACUAUAUACAGGGGGUACCAGCACAGAGUCAAUGUGGAGACUAUAUAAAGGGG